GUGCUAGCUUGGGCAGUACAUAUAUUGAAACUGGACCGAUACAGAGAAGAUUAGCAUUGCCUUGUGAAAGGAUGACUAAAUCAAUCUGUGAGGCAUUCCAUAACUAA
ensembl:snRNA U6 U6 spliceosomal RNA